CCUACUCCUACGGGAGGCAGCAGUGGGGAAUAUUGCACAAUGGGCGCAAGCCUGAUGCAGCGACGCCGCGUGAGGGAUGACGGCCUUCGGGUUGUAAACCUCUUUCAGUAGGGAAGAAGCGAAAGUGACGGUACCUGCAGAAGAAGCGCCGGCUAACUACGUGCCAGCAGCCGCGGUAAUACGUAGGGCGCAAGCGUUAUCCGGAAUUAUUGGGCGUAAAGAGCUCGUAGGCGGUUUGUCGCGUCUGCCGUGAAAGUCCGGGGCUCAACUCCGGAUCUGCGGUGGGUACGGGCAGACUAGAGUGAUGUAGGGGAGACUGGAAUUCCUGGUGUAGCGGUGAAAUGCGCAGAUAUCAGGAGGAACACCGAUGGCGAAGGCAGGUCUCUGGGCAUUAACUGACGCUGAGGAGCGAAAGCAUGGGGAGCGAACAGGAUUAGAUACCCUGGUAGUCCAUGCCGUAAACGUUGGGCACUAGGUGUGGGGGACAUUCCACGUUUUCCGCGCCGUAGCUAACGCAUUAAGUGCCCCGCCUGGGGAGUACGGCCGCAAGGCUAAAACUCAAAGGAAUUGACGGGGGCCCGCACAAGCGGCGGAGCAUGCGGAUUAAUUCGAUGCAACGCGAAGAACCUUACCAAGGCUUGACAUGGACCGGACCGGGCUGAAACAGUCCUUCCCCCUGG
rnacentral:rRNA from 1 species